GCCCAUUUAUGUAACGGAGAGGUAGAGGGAGAGGACGUGAGGGGUAAGAUUAUAUUUAUCUAUUUAAAAUGAUCUGCCAAAAUUGUUGCAAUCCCUAUUACUAGCCUGUUCAACCUCUCUUUCUUGUCGUCUGAGAUUACCAAAGAUUGGAAAGCAGCUGUGGUCACCCCCCACUUCAAAGAGGGAGACACUCUUGACCCAAACUGCUACAGACCUAUGUCUAUCCUACCCUGCCUUUCUAAGGUCUUCGAAAGCCAAGUUAACAAACAGAUUACCAACCAUUUCGAAUCCCACAGUACCUUCUCCGCUAUGCAAUCUGAUUUCAGAGCUGGUCAUGGGUUCACCUCAGCCACGCUCAAGGUCCUAAACGAUAUCAUAACCGCCAUCAAUAAGAAACAAUACUGUGCAGCCGUAUUCAUUGACCUGGCUAAGGCUUUCGACUCUGUCAAUCACCACAUCCUUAUCGGCAGACUCAGCAGCCUUGGUUUCUCAAAUGAUUGCCUCGCCUUGUUCACCAACUACUUCUCCGAUAGAAUUCAGUGUGUCAAAUCGGAGGGCUGAUUGUCCGGGCCUCUGGCAUUCUCUAUGGGGGUGCCACAGGGUUCAAUUUUUGGUCCGACUCUCUUCUCUGUACAAAUCAAUGAUGUCGUUCUUGCUGCUGGUGAGUCUCUGAUACACCUCUACGCAGACAACACCAUUCUGUAUACUUCUUGCCCUUCUCUGGACACUGCCAUCCAUUUUGUCACCAAAGCCCCAUAUACUACCCACCACUGCGACCUGUACGCUCUCGUUGGCUGGCCCUCGCUUCAUACUCGUCGCCAAACCCACUGGCUCCAGGUCAUCUACAAGAUCAAGGUAGGUAAAGCCCCACCUUAUCUCAGCUUGCUGGUCACCAUAGCAGCACCUACCCGUAGCACGCACUCCAGAAGGUAUAUCUCACUGGUCACCCCCAAAAGCCAAUUCCUCCUUUGUACCCCUCUCCUUCCAGUUCUCUGCUGCCAAUGACUGGAACAAACUACAAAAAUUACUGAAACUGGAGACUCAUCUCCCUCACUAACUUCAAGCACCAGCUGUCAGAGCAGCUCACAGAUCACUGCACCUGUACAUAGCCCAUCUGUAAAUAGCCCAAACAAAUACCUCAUCCUCUACUGUAUUUAUUUAUUUAUUUAUUUUGCUCCUUUGCACCCCAGUAUUUCUACUUUGCACAUUCAUCUACUGCACAUCUACCUUUCCAGUGUUUAAUUGCUAUAUUGUAUUUACUUCGCCACCAUGGCCUAUUUAUUGCCUUAACUCCCCUAUCUCACCUCAUUUGCACACAUUGUAUAUAGACUUAUUUUUCUACUGUAUUAUUGACUGUAUGUUUGUUUACUCCAUGUGUAACUCUGUGUUGUUGUAUGUGUCGAACUGCUUUGCUUUAUCUUGGCCAGGUCACAGUUGUAAAUGAGAACUUGUUCUCAACUUGCCUACCUGGUUAAAUAAAGGUGAAAUAAAUAAAUAAAUACAAAUAUUUGCACAAUGAAGAUAAUCAGCUAUAAAUCAGGUAUCUUAUUUUAUUUUUCCCACAGAAGGCCUUUUGCAUUUUGGUAGGUUAUCACUGUAAAUAAGAAUUUGUUCUUAACUGACUUGCCUAGUUAAAUAAAAUAAAACAUUUUUAAAGUGUUAGUAACAGAAGAAGAGACCUUACAGGAGACGGUCAGUGGUUGACCAGGCUGGUCAGUCAUGGAGGCUGGCUGAGUGAGUUAAAAAUAACUCUGUACACCUGUUGAAUGAAAAGAACGAACAACAUUAAAUACACAAAAUAGCAACAUGUUACACUAUAUGCAUUCUAGUAGUUAUGUUGAAGCGGGUUUUAUACUUCAGGCAAUUUUCUUUGCUUUGUCUUUCCUCCAAACCCAGAGAGACUGACAGGAGGCAGCUGCCAGCAGCAGAGAUGCAGGGGACAUGGUUUGUGUUGAAGCUGAACUGGUGGGAGCUGCUCUUCUCUCCAGGACUCAGAGGUGCCUGGUGGAUCCAGUGGAUAUGAUUGCUGCUUAGAGUGAAUUCACCUACAGGCACAUCUGAGUUUGAGGGAUCCUGCAGGGGUCCCCUGGACUGACUGUUCAGCCUGUGUGAGUACAACCUGACUGUGGACACCUGAGGAGGGAGAGGAAUGACAGGUCAGAUCAAUCAAGGAGUCACAUCAGUAUCACAGCAACACAGGUUAUACUGAUCAGACUAUAGUCAGGAACUCACAGGAGGCAGCUGCCAGCAGCAGACAUGCAGGGAACAUGGUUUGUGUUGAAGCUGAACUGGUGGGAGCAGCUCUUCUCUACUCUCCAGAACUCAGAGAGACAUACUACACGCUUAGAAAAAAAGGGGCUAUCUAGAACCUAAAAGGGUUCGUUGGUUGUCUCCAUGGGAGAAUCCUUGGAAGAACCCUUUUUGGUUCCAUGCAGGUCUAUUUUCGCAGAGGGUUCUAAAAUGGAACCCAAAAGGGUUCUAAUAUAGGGACAGCUGAAGAAUUAUUUUGGAACCUUUUUUUUCUAAGAAUGUAGGACAGACAGACAGAGCAUUAUAUAACAGAGAGUGAGAGGAAGUGAGGGGUGAGAUUAUAUUUGCAUAAUGAAGAUAAUCAGUAUUAAAGCACUGGGAAUAUCAGUGCAAAUGGUGGUAAAAUAUUUAUAAUGUGUCAGUUUCUAACACUACACUCUAGAAUGUUUUAACAUUGUUCUCAUAUUAUUGGUAAUGCCUAUGCCAUAUGUAUAAAGUUAUUAUUGUAAAAACAAAGGUAUUGCGGUGUUUGUAAACAUAUUGCUAUUAGCGUUCAUCAGAAAUAAAUACGAUUAUCUGUGCUGAAUGCGGAAGUGUUUUUGUAUGGCUUCUCCCAUUAGUUUAACCACUGUGACUCUCUAGCACAGUAAUACACUGCUGUGUCCUCACUCUUCAGACUGUUCAUCUGUAGGUACAGCUUACUGCUGGAGUCAUUUCUGGAGAUGGUGAAUCUACCCUGGACUGACUGGGAAUAAGAGAUUGGAUUACUCUGUGUGCUAACAUAAGCAAUCCACUCCAGUCCUUUCCCAGGAGCCUGUCUGAUCCAACCCAUCCUGUAGCUACUGAAUGUGAAGCCAGAGGCUGUACAGGUCAGUUGGUGGGAUUCUCCAGGCUUUUUAACUACUGGUCCAGACUCAGUCAGUGUCUGACCAUGAACACCUGUGGAAAUAGAAAGCAGAGAUGUUGUUGAAGUUGAAACUAAAAUCUGAUGUCAACUUGUUUAUUUGAUAGACAGUAUAAACACCUAUUAGAUAGACUGUCAGUAAGAAUAUUCCUGUUGUAGGAAACAUGGUGAUCUGUGUAGUUCUCUAAUGGUAGUUGAGAGUCUACAGCAGAAUCCUCCUUCAACAGAGACAUUAAUAAAGAUGGAGGACUAGAAUGUUUUGCAUGAGCUCCUUCUUACUGGGAGGACCAAUCACAAGAGGCUUUGAUAGAUACCCACAGAUCACCUAGUAUGAGGUCAUCUUGAGAUGCUCUGUUAUGAAGAAGAAAUCCUUCUGUUUCUGUUUCUAUGUAUUUAUUUUACCAGGUAAAUAGAUGGAGAACACAUUUCCAUGACAACACAAACCCGAGUAGGAGUUGUAAGGACCGUUUCAGAAUGAAUGUACAAAUUAUUAUUCAUGACAGUAAAAUAAUAUUGGAACAUGCUGCCAUCAUGUUGUCAUAGCAUGAUAAAGGGGCAAACUUCUGAAACAUCCACGGAAUCAAUCCCACAAUAUGUAUUUGUUGAAUAACAUUUUAAUCAAUGGUACAAAGUACUUAAGUAAAA
ensembl:lncRNA